GUAUCGACUGGAGACGUACACCGAGACAAGAACCAGCGCCUGGCAGUUUGAGCCCUACAACGGACAGAUAGUGGAUGGUCCUCAGUUUGGAAUGAGCCCCCCGCCGUGGGACAUUCCUGUGACGCUGCCGCAGAGAUACACUGACAAGGUGGAGAAGGUCCGAGUGCCACAUUCGUCAUUUGUGAAGCCAUGUCACAAGUGCAACGGCUGUGGAAGAACUCGCUGUGGUAACUGCCAUGGGAGAGGCCAGGUGAGAUGUUUU